UCGCUACUACCGAUUGAAUGGUUUGAUGAAUUGCGCGGACCAUCCGCUUUGGAGGUAACUCCUUGGUAGAUUGGGAACUGUAAUAAAUCUGAUCAUUUAGAGGAAGUAA
rnacentral:rRNA from 1 species